rnacentral:rRNA from 1 species
GACGAACGCUGGCGGCGUGCUUAACACAUGCAAGUCGAACGGAAAGGCUCCAGCUUGCUGGAGUACUCGAGUGGCGAACGGGUGAGUAACACGUGGGUAAUCUGCCCUGCACUCUGGGAUAAGCCUGGGAAACUGGGUCUAAUACUGGAUAUGACCUUUCUCCUUAUGGGGUUUGGUGGAAAGUUUUUCGGUGUAGGAUGAGCCCGCGGCCUAUCAGCUUGUUGGUGGGGUGAUGGCCUACCAAGGCGACGACGGGUAGCCGGCCUAAGAGGGUGAUCGGCCACAUUGGGACUGAGAUACGGCCCAGACUCCUACGGGAGGCAGCAGUGGGGAAUAUUGCACAAUGGGCGGAAGCCUGAUGCAGCGACGCCGCGUGAGGGAUGACGGCCUUCGGGUUGUAAACCUCUUUCAGCAGGGACGAAGCGUAAGUGACGGUACCUGCAGAAGAAGCACCGGCUAACUAUGUG